CUGUGUUUCACUGGCAUCAAACGACACUAUACUGCUUUCAUCCCCUGAGUCUCUGUCAUCUCGAACCAAGCAGUGGCCAGAGGAAUUUCCAAUUCCUCAAUUUUCCUACGACACAGAGUUGCAGUUAGUGAAAGGUAAUUCUGAGUGCCAGGUUGGAAACAAGUUUUUGACCUUGAGCUCCCGAAUAAAAUCUGAUAUCUUGAAUAGAGUAGUUGAAGAAAUUUACCGAUAUAAGGCCUACCCGGAGGAUGCACAUUUCUGCACAGUUGCAGAGGCCUUAAUCAAAAAGCACCCUUGUUUAAAAGAGCCUGGCUCAUUCAAUGGCUGCUACGGCUGGAAACAGCGACUGAAGUACAAAAUGGGAAACUACCGGACUCAACUCAAAGUGCUGGGGUGUCCAGAGCUGUCAGUAAAUUCCCUGAGAUCGAAAUCAACGAUGGAUGCUUUCCCUGCUAAAAAGGUGAAGAGGCCAAAACGAGCCAAAGCCAACUUCUAUCCAUCCUUCCCUACUGGAGAAACUCAGGACAGCAUGGAAAAAGAGAGAAUAGAACUUCUGACAGAUGUCAAGAUAAGGAACAAUGAAAGGGUAAUCACGGACAAAAUGGCUUGCACGUUUGCCUACAGACGACAAGAGGUGGUCAACCAAGAACCCAGCAUUCAAGACAUUAAAGACCGGUGGUCUGCCUUGUUCCAUCAGAAAGAGAUCAAUGCAGAGUUCCUGAGGCUCAUGGCUGUUCCUCUUGAGGAUAAGUUCUUCGCCCAGUUAGACAUCCACUCAAGUCAGCUAAUCAGAGUCAUCCGUGCCAAAGGUGGAUCAACACGCCAAAAGAAUGCUGACAUCAUGGACAUUUUGGACCAGACUGAGGACAUUCAUCUUCGAAGGGAGUGUGUCCUGAAAGCCCUCAUCAUCUUCCUCGGCGAGGAUGCAGAUGACCUGAUCAAGGAAUAUCGUGUACGUUUCUACAGCAAUUUGCAUUUCAGCUCAUCUCAUCAUUUUUAUCCUGUAAAACAUAGACAAUUUUGUCAACUAUAAUUACUGAAACCUGUUUGGAUUGACUACAUGUUGUAUUUAUAAUAUAUGUAGUGAUUCUUGCGUAGAGCUACUGGUGAAAAGGUCGGAGUCCUGCAAAACAUCAAGACACAAAGUACUUGACCCUGUCAUGAUACCAGGCUUGGCCAAUAAUGAGAUGUGUGGCUGAGCCUAUAAAGGGCUCCAAUCCAUAAAGCACUAUUCAGUGAAAUGAAGUCGAUGUGAUUUUGCAGUUGUCUUUUACUGCGAGGCGUGAAUAAAAGUGCAAAGUGAUGACAGUGAUGUUUUGUGUCAUGUACUUCAGGACUCUGGACCAGAGGACAUUCAAAGGGAUCUGGAGAAUCUCACUGUGGCAGUGUUUGUCAUUCGAAAGGACGGGGAAGGACCGCAGGAGCCACCUGAAGACAUAGGCAUUGUCAUCGAGGGCGUGAAGGUGUUGCAUGGACUGACUUCAGUUGCCUCAGCUUGUGCCCUGCUUCUAGGUUUGCUAUAUGCACUUAACCUUGCUUAUCCCAAACCCCUUCGUUUUACUUUCGAAGUGCUCCAGAAAAUCAUCAUGCACCUUGAGCAACACAAGAUGUCUCCCAAAGUCCAAAAUCUGUAUGGCAGACUUCAAAGCUCGCAGUAAUGACACACAUCACAAUUGAUUCCUUUUCUGGACCCAAAAAUGGCCUAGGGAAGAACAAUGUUAAAGGAUAAAUCCGGUGUAAAAUGGAUCUGGGAUAUGUUUAAUAUGAUAACGAGAUGGUAUGUUCGUUUGGGUGAAAAAACGCAUGUAGACGCAUUCUUAAGUUGGCUGUUUUCAGCCGAUUCUACCAUCGGUAGAAUCCACGCUAUAAACUUGGAAUCAUGGGGGCAUCGUCUCAUGGUAAAAAUGAAAUCGCUAUUUUAAACCACUUAAAAGGCUAGAGGUAGCCCGACACUUCUUUGGUAGUAUAAUAAGGGUCUUAAAAUAUAAAACAAGGCACUGAUAACUUUGUAAGUGUACAGAUUGUUUAUUAAAAAUGACAUUUUAUACACACAAUACCAUCAGUAGUUCAUCUUUCGACGCC